rnacentral:rRNA from 1 species
CGGAGGGUGCGAGCGUUAAUCGGAAUGACUGGGCGUAAAGGGCACGUAGGCGGUGCGUUAAGUUGGAUGUGAAAUCCCCGGGCUUAACCCGGGAACUGCAUUCAAGACUGGCGAGCUGGAGUCUCGUAGAGGGGGUAGAAUUCCAAGUGUAGCGGUGAAAUGCGUAGAGAUCUGGGAGGAAUACCGGUGGCGAAGGCGGCCCCCUGGACGAAGAACUGACGCGUGAGGUGCGAAAGACGUGGGAGCAAACAGGAUU